CACGUAGGGGGCAAGCGUUGUCCGGAUUUAUUGGGCGUAAAGAGCUCGUAGGCGGCUCAGUAAGUCAGGUGUGAAACCUCCAGGCUCAACCUGGAGACGCCACCUGAUACUGCUGUGGCUAGAGUCCGGUAGGGGAGCGUGGAAUUCCUGGUGUAGCGGUGAAAUGCGUAGAUAUCAGGAGGAACACCGGUGGUGUAGACGGCUUACUGGACCACGACUGACACUGAGGCACGAAAGCGUGGGUAGCAAACAGG
rnacentral:rRNA from 1 species